AGCUGACCUAUCAUGGAGGAGCAGGAUGAUGAUGUAGCUGACCUAUCAUGGAGGAGCAGGGUGAUGAUGUAACUGACCUAUCAUGGAGGAGCAGGGUGAUGAUGUAGCUGACCAAUCAUGGAGGAGCAGGAUGAUGAUGUAGCUGACCUAUCAUGGAUGAGCAGGAUGAUGAUGUAGCUGACCUAUCAUGGAGGAGCUGAAUGAUGUAGCUGACCUAUCAUGGAGGAGAGGGGUGAUGAUGUAGCUGACCUAUCAUGGAGGAGCAGGAUAAUGAUGAAGCUGACCUGUCAUGGAGGAGCAGGGGUGAUGAUGUAGCUGACCUAUCAUGGAGGAGCAGGGGAGAUGAUGUAGCUGACCUAUCAUGGAGGAGCAGGAGUGAUGAUGUAGCUGACCUAUCGUGGAGGAGCAGGAUGAUGAUGUAGCUGACCUAUCAUGGAGGAGCAGGGGUGAAAAUGUAGCUGACCUAUCAUGGAGGAGCAGGGGUGGUGAUGUAGCUGACCUAUCAUGUAGGACCAGGAUGAUGUAGCUGACCUUUCAUGGAGGAGCAGGAUGAUGUAGCUGACCUAUCAUGGUGGAGCAGGGUGAUGAUGUAGCUGACCUAUCAUGGAGGAGCAGGAUGAUGAUGUAGCUGACCUAUCAUGGAGGAGCAGGGGUGAUGAUGUAGCUGACCUAUCAUGGAAGAGCAGGGUGAUGAUGUAGCUGACCUAUCAUGGAGGAGCAGGCUGAUGAUGUAGCUGACCUAUCAUGGAGGAGCAGGAUGAUGAUGUAGCUGACCUAUCAUGGAGGAGCAGGAGUGAUGAUGUAGCUGACCUAUCAUGGAGGAGCAGGGGUGAUGAUGUAGCUGACCUAUCAGGGAGGAGCAGGAUGAUGAUGUAGCUGACCUAUCAUGGAGGAGCAGGGGUGAUGAUGUAGCUGAC
rnacentral:lncRNA from 1 species